rnacentral:rRNA from 1 species
UACAGAGGCCUCGAGCGUUGUUCGGAAUUACUGGGCGUAAAGGGAAUGUAGGCGGUGACGUAAGUCAGAUGUGAAAGCCCUGGGCUUAACCCGGGAACUGCAUUUGAUACUGCGUUGCUAGAGUGUGAGAGAGGAAAGCGGAAUUCCACGUGUAGCGGUGAAAUGCGUAGAGAUGUGGAGGAACACCAAUGGCGAAGGCAGCCUUCUGGGCCAACACUGACGCUCAUGCACGAAAGCGUGGGGAGCAAACAGG